CACGUAGGGCGCAAGCGUUGUCCGGAAUUAUUGGGCGUAAAGAGCUCGUAGGCGGUCUGUUGCGUCCGCUGUGAAAACUCGGGGCUUAACCCCGAGCCUGCAGUGGAUACGGGCAGACUAGAGGUAGGUAGGGGAGAAUGGAAUUCCCGGUGUAGCGGUGAAAUGCGCAGAUAUCGGGAGGAACACCAGUGGCGAAAGCGGCUACCUGGCCCAUUCUUGACGCUGAGGCGCGAAAGCUAGGGGAGCAAACGGG
rnacentral:rRNA from 1 species